rnacentral:rRNA from 1 species
ACGCAUUUUAGAGCCUAAUUCACUUUAAUUAAUAAUUAAAAUUACAUUCAAAUCCAAAUUCAAAAUUUUAAUCAUAAAAUUUUUCCUAAAAUAAAAUUACUGUAAUCCAUCUCUUCUUUUAUAAGCUGCACCUUGAUCUGAUUUAAAAUAAAAUAAAAUAUAAAAAUUAUAUUUCUUCGGAAAUAAUUUACAACGACGAUAUACAAGCAAAAAUAAAAGUUGUUAAAAUCGUGGAUUAUCGAUUACAGGACAGAUUCCCCUGAUUGGAAUAAAAAACCGCCAAAUUUUUUAAUUUUAAAGAACAUAUCUAAUAUUAAUCAGGUCUUUUUCCUCAAAGCCUAGAAUAAUGGGGUAUCUAAUCCCAGUUUAUCAACUAGAUUUCUUAACCUCAUAGACAAAAAUUAAAUUAAAUAAGAAAUAGGAUUUCACCCAAUAUUUCAUUAAAAUAAAAACAAAACUUUAUUAAUUAAGUAAUAGACCGAAAAAAAAUAGAAGCGUUUCUUGUAUAACCGCA